AAUCUACCCAGCUCUACGGAAUAACUCAGGGAAACUUGUGCUAAUACCGUAUACGUCCGAUAGGAGAAAGAUUUAUCGGAGUUGGAUGAGCCCGCGUUGGAUUAGCUAGUUGGUGGGGUAAUGGCCUACCAAGGCGACGAUCCAUAGCUGGUCUGAGAGGAUGAUCAGCCACACUGGGACUGAGACACGGCCCAGACUCCUACGGGAGGCAGCAGUGGGGAAUAUUGGACAAUGGGCGCAAGCCUGAUCCAGCCAUGCCGCGUGAGUGAUGAAGGCCCUAGGGUUGUAAAGCUCUUUCACCGGUGAAGAUAAUGACGGUAACCGGAGAAGAAGCCCCGGCUAACUUCGUGCCAGCAGCCGCGGUAAUACGAAGGGGGCUAGCGUU
rnacentral:rRNA from 1 species